GGCCGCGGUGGAUCUUCAGAUUCGAGAGGUUCCGCAUCAGAACAGCUCUUGACAACAGGGAGGAAGAAUACCAGGUGAAUUCACUCCUAUAUGCAAUGGCAGAUGCAGCGGAUAAUGUGCUCGCAGUUUUGCCAAUAACUGAGGCUAAUAAAAAGAAAUAUGCGACUGUUAAAGCAGCAUUUGAGCAGCACUGUCGGAAAGCACACACCGAUGGCCAAUGUUUUUUGCCUCUGCUGCGGAAAAAGCGCGAUAGAGACUCGGAUUGUGUCCGUCUGAACCACCGCACUCCUUUUUCAGGACUCAACAUUCUCCACAGAAUAACAUUUAACCGCUCAUUUUUGUUGAGACGUAUUAAAAACAGGAGCGGCGCAACGAUGUGGAUCCAGGUCCGCAAGAAGACCCGAACCAUGGACGAUCUUUCCAGGCUGACCAACAUCGAGACCCUCCGCGUGAAAAUACAGGACAUCUUCAAUAUCCUCCGGACAGGCCUCUGGCCAAGGACCCCCGAUAAAGACAAUGAUCGCAACGACACAGACUGCCGACGAGAGCAAGCCGGACGUCAUUGCCCCUAAUAACUCAGCUAGCACAAAAAAUGGCAUCAAGCCUUCGAGUCCCAUGUGCGACACCCAACCGCUGACAUCCAGCAAGGACACGCUAGUGGAUCCGGGAAUCGGGAAAUACAAAAUUAAUCAGCUAGUAGACUGCAGGGACGUGACCGUGGGCGCCUGGUUUGAAGCCUGUGUAGAAAACGUGAUGCGCACCCCAAAAGGACCCAUCAAGAACAAGGUGGGGCGGCCAUUCAUGAAAAUAAUUUCGACGGAAAAAACCCACAAAAAUCCGCGGAUCCGCGGAAAAUUCUCAUCCCUGACUCCGAGAGCAACGAAGCCACCACAUCCCAGACGGACUACUCUGAAGAGGACGUCAUCUAUCACAUUAAAUAUGAGGACUACCCCGAGAACGGUCUGGUGACCGGGCAUCUCCGCCCAGAUAGGAAACUUGGUGGAAAGUUGUGGAAUACGUCAUACACACAGAUCGCAGCUCAAAGAACCACUGCUGCCUACUCCCCUGCCGGACCGCCCGUGGCAAAGGAUCGGAAUGGAUCUGUUCAAGUGGUCAAGAGAGAGUACUUGUUGAUCGUAGACUAUUUCUCAAAAUACAUUGAAAUAGCUCUGAUCGUCACUUCAGCCGAAGUGCUUUUGAACUCCGCUAUUAAAGAGGUCUUUGCCAGGCAUGGGACUGCAGAGAUUGUGGUAUCUGACAAGGGGCCCCAGUUUUCAUCAUCAGUGUUCAGGGAGUUUGCGAAAGAGAACAACUUCACAAGCAGCCCCCGGUACUCUCAGGCAAUGGGGAGGCGGAAGGCAUGCUACGGACCAUCAAAGACUUGUGGAAAAAAGACAGCGACCACAGAUUUGACAGGUGAGCCAUGCCUUCAUUCAUCAGCUGAUAAAGACAUGUCACAACCACACCAGUGACACUCUGAUGAAGGCGGAAGUACACGCCGAAACAUGUCAGAUACCAAUCAAUCAAUCAAUCCGCACCGAAGAAAACAAACAUCAGCUUUGGAUCAGGGAGGCAAUCGCGUUCCGCAAGCGGGGCCCGAGGACCAUCAACAGAGACGAGAGAGCUUUCAUGCUCUCUACCACCUGGAGCAGCAUUCUGGAGGGGUGAACGGACAGCAGAGGGUGUGACUCACCUGUCAAAUCUGACAGGUGAGCCACACCUUCAUUCAUCAGCUAAUAAAGGUGCGUCACAACUUCACCAGUGACACUCUGAUGAAGGUGGAAGUACACACUGAAACAUGACAGGUAAAUCAACCUGAAUAAUUUGUCUGUGAUAAAAGAUUGGAUUAGAUUCAAAUUUAUUGUCAAUGUACAACACAAGUACAGUACAGCGAAAAGAACCAGUAAAAUAAAAAAAUUAAAUUAGUAUUAUUAUUACAGUAGCUUAAUUAACGUGCUGCACAUCGCUCUCAAUUUAAAGACCCCUUUCUUUCGUUGGGUAAUAAUAUGCUCUGAAUGUUGAAAGUGAUUCCAUUGAUAUUUUUCUAGUUUCCGUUUGAGUUCUUUAAAUGUGCACCUUCAAUUAUGUCUGUUUUUCACACAUUUCAAUCCCCAGGUUUAAUCAAUUACAUUGCGUGUUCAAAUGCUCCUGGCCCAGCCCCUCUGUCAAAUUUCUGAACCCAUUCUGGCCCGCGAGUCAAAACGUUUGGCCACCCCUGCUGUAGCAUGUUCACCCAAUGGUAUAAUCACAUUUCAGAUGAAUUUAUAGGGAUGUGUUGAGUUGUCAGCGUAACUAAUAAAAUUUCGAGGCUACGACAAAACAUCUUUUUUUUUAGACUCCACCACGCAUAAAAGUGGGUGGAGACUCCAAGCUGUACUCAUUAGAGCAAACCUGACGACAGAGGUAAGUGGUUUCUCAGCUAUCUCCCCUUCAACUCGAAAUUUGAUUUUCAAUAAACGUGAGGCAUGUGCUUAGUUAAUUUAUUAAUCAAUUAUUUUAACCUGGACUGUUGUGUUGGCAUUGAAAUUACCAUUUCCCAACUGGGAGGAAGUUAAUCAAGUAUUCCAAGAUCCUCUCGUUUCAUUUACUAUACUCCGAAAAAAUAUUGUCCUGGUCUAAAAACGGUCUUUUUUCGGAGGUACACAUCCUGAUGAAUUUGGUAUGAAUUAACUCCGUCAGAUGCAUGAAAGUGAACAGGUGAUCAGACAAUAAGUUCUAAAACAAGCAUAGGCGGGCACUUUUAAAUCUGCUAUAUUGUUUUACCCGUGAAAAUUACCGUUUUUUUCCAUGUAUAAUGCACCCCCAUGUAUAAUACUCACCCUAAAAAUGGCAUGUUGAUGCUGGAAAAAAGCCUGUACCCAUGUAUAAUACGCACCCAAAUUUUGACUCCUACUUAAGUCCGUAAACGUAAAAUUAUUUCAGAAAAAAGAUCAUCUUUGGGAACAACCGGAUGUUAUUCUGCUGGUCAGUAUCACUGAUCAUGCGCUAGCAAACUCGAUAGCGAAAUUUUUUUUCGGAUUUGUGUUUGGUACAUUGUAAAAGCAAACGAGCAGGUGAUCGAGCAAGCGUCUGAUACGAGAGCAUUAUGUUCGUAUGGAGCGUGUUUGAAGUGAACAGUAGAGAAGAAAGCGCAUCUGUAAUGGCGGCCUCUGGAUCAUAUCCGGAUAAAAAAUUUAAAAAAAAUUAUUUUUUUUUUGUACCCAUGUAUAAUGCGCACCCUAGAUUUUAGGACAAUAAAUUAGUUAAAUUUUGCGCAUUAUACAUGGGAAAAAAACGGUAACGCUAUAUCGUAAAAAGGCCGUUCGAAGUCCGCGAGCAAGGCUUUUGCUGUCCGCGUGUGCACAAUGGGACAAAAUGCACACCGCCACAUCCAUGUGCUUGCAAUUAGAGUUAACGAGGAACAACAUUGCUGGUUUAAAGUCAAACUGGAUACACAAAUUAGUAGAAUCACAUGCUACAAAAACAAGCAACAUUUAAAGUUGCUUUGGUCGCUUUCGGUCAUCCCUUUUGCAAUUCGUUCGAGUGAAGGCAAAGUGCUUCACCUUGUCCCGAAAUGCUGCAGUAGGAUAUGCAUAUGGCAGAUUGAGAAGUACUUUGCACAUUUUUAGAAAUUCUCUUCUCAUACUUGGAAUCACAUGGAAAUAAAGUAAAAAAGAUAAAAAAAAUUCCGGAUCUUUAUUGAUUGUCACUUUCUCUUUCAGAAUGGAGAGAAAGGUGAUGACAGCGUAGGUGGUGGCGUUGAGGAGGGAGAUUCGGGCCAGAGGGUGGAAGCAUUAUGGUGUUUCUAGCUAUGAAAUGGACGAUGUGGAUCCAGGUCCGCAAGGAGACUCGAACCGUGGACGAUCUCUCCAGGCUGGCCAACACCGAGACCCUCCGCAUGAAAAUACGGGACAUCUUCAAUAUCCUCCGGACAGGCCUCUGGCCAAGGACCCCCGAUAAAGACAAUGAUCGCAACGACACAGACUGCCGACGAGAGCAAGCCAGACGCCAUUGCCCCUAAUAACUCAGCUAGCACAAAAAAUGGCAUCAAGCCUUCGAGUCCCAUGUGCGACACCCAACCGCUGACAUCCAGCAAGGACACGCUAGUGGAUCCGGGAAUCGGGAAAUACAAAAUUAAUCAGCUAGUAGACUGCAGGGACGUGACCGUGGGCGCCUGGUUUGAAGCCUGUGUAGAAAACGUGAUGCGCACCCCAAAAGGACCCAUCAAGAACAAGGUGGGGCGGCCAUUCAUGAAAAUAAUUUCGACGGAAAAAAAACACAAAAAUCCGCGGAUCCGCGGAGAAUUCUCAUCCCUGACUCUGAGUGCAACGAAGCCACCACAUCCCAGACGGACUACUCUGAAGAGGACGUCAUCUAUCACAUUAAAUAUGAGGACUACCCCGAGAACGGUCUGGUGACCGGGCAUCUCCGCCCAGAUAGGAAACUUGGUGGAAAGUUGUGGAAUACGUCAUACACACAGAUCGCAGCUCAAAGAACCACUGCUGCCUACUCCCCUGCCGGACCGCCCGUGGCAAAGGAUUGGAAUGGAUCUGUUCGAGUGGUCCAAGAGAGAGUACUUGUUGAUCGUAGACUAUUUCUCAAAAUACAUUGAAAUAGCAGAGUUCAAAAGUACUUUGGCUGAAGUGACGAUCAGAGCUAUUAAAGAGGUCUUUGCCAGGCAUGGGACUGCAGAGAUUGUGGUAUCGGACAAGGGGCCCCAGUUUUCAUCAUCAGUGUUCAGGGAGUUUGCGAAAGAGAACAACUUCACACAUAUCACAAGCAGCCCCCACUACUCUCAGGCAAUGGGGAGGCGGAAGGCAUGCUACGAACCAUCAAAGACUUGUGGAAAAAAGACAGCGACCACAGAUUUGACAGGUGAGUCACGCCCUCUGCUGUCCGUUCACCCCUCCAGAAUGCUGAGAUUUGACUCACCUGUCAAAUCUGACAGGUGAGCCACGCCUUCAUUCAUCAGCUGAUAAAGACAUGUCACAACCACACCAGUGACACUCUGAUGAAGGCGGAAGUACACGCCGAAACAUGUCAGGUAAAUCAACCUAGAUAAUUUGUCUGUGAUAAAAGAACCAGUAAAAUAAUCUAUAAGUGAAGACAAAAUGAACGUAGUACAGCUAUUACGAGAAAGUUCCGAAGAGAAAUGCGUCAAGGAAUUGCACCUCCUGGAAAAGCUGACGAAGUAACGGGCUCGCUACUGGAACCACCUGAGGUUCAACCAACGCUGCUGGGAUGAAGAGGUAAAGCUAGCCAGCCUGACAGUCAAGAACCCAAUACCAACCAGGAACACGGAGAGGAUUAUCAGGAGAGUGCGGAUGACUCAAAGAACGGAUACGAUGCACAACCAACAAACUCAACAUCAACAGUGGACUACAGCGACUGACGGAUUCACAACAUGUCACGUCACAAACUCACACAGGCAGAGCGCAGCAUACUGGCUAAGGACUCAACUCCGCGAUCACACCCAAAAACAUACCCCACGAGGAUUUCAUUUUAGCCACGGAGUUGGCAUGCCAAAAAAUACACAAUCCAGCACAGAAAGCAGCACUACGUAAUGAAAUUGCAGGUAUACUAAAAAUGGCUAAAUCACCACCCGGCAAUGUUAACAAACAGGAAGCAAGAGCAAUGAAUAUACUAGCAAAAAAUAGAGACAUCACAAUCCUCCCAGCAGACAAAGACAGAACAACAUUAUUCAUGGACACAGACACUUACGAAGAACAGAUGCGACAGUUACUACAGGACGACACCUAUGAAGUGGUUAAAAAAAGACCCAACGGAAGACCAGAAACAAACUCAAAGCAUUACUUAAACCACUACUUAUUGGAAAUAAAAUAGACAAACAGUCAUACAAUCACUUAGUACCCACAGCAAACAUCAUCCCCAGAAUCUAUGGCACGCCAAAAAUCCAUAUACCAGGUACACCUCUCCGCCCCAUUGUAGACAGCAUAGGAUCAGUUACCUACAACCUUUCAAAAGCACUCACAGAAAUAAUAAAACCACUACUAGGACUCACAGAUCAACACUGCAAAAACUCAAAACAACUCACCAGAGAGAGUAAUAAUAUGCGCUUAACUUUGAUGUCUAUUGUUCUGCAAAUAAGGCAGGUGUAUUCUAUUGUUAUGCAAAUGAGCUUUAUGCGAAUGAUGCAGGUGGAUGUCUACACCGUGUUCCAAAUUAUUAUGUUGUUAAAUUGUAUUUAAGUGUCAUAAAGAUUACAUUUUUUGUUUUUCAAUUAAACUCAUGGACGGUAUUGUGUGUCAGGGCUCUUUGGAUCACUGAAAUCAAUCUCAGACACCUGUGAUAAUUAGUCUGCCAGGUGAGCCCAAUUAAGGAAAAACUACUUAAAAAUGGCGUUCCACAUUAUUAAGCAGAUGACCAUUUCCAAGCAACAUGGGAAAGAAAAAGGAUCUCUCUGCUGUCGAAAAGCGUGAAAUAGUUCAAUGCCUUGGACAAGGUAUGAAGACCUUAGAUAUUUUACGAAAACUUAAGCGUGAUCAUCGUACUGUAAAGAGAUUUGUGGCUGAUUCAGAGCACACACGGGUUCGUGCAGAUAAAGGCACAACGAGGAAGGUUUCUGCCAGACAAAAACAUCGGAUUAAGAGAGCAGCUGCUAAAAUGCCAUUACAGAGUAGCAAACAGAUAUUUGAAGCUGCUGGUGCCUCUGGAGUCCCACGAACAUCAAGGUGUAGGAUCCUCCAGAGUCUUGCAGUUAUGCGUAAACCCUCUAUUCGGCCACCCCUAAACAACGCUCACAAGCAGAAACGGCUGCAGUGGGCCCAGGAAUACAUGAAGACUAAUUUUCAAACAGUCUUGUUCACUGAUGAGUGCCGUGCAACCUUGGAUGGUCCAGAUGGAUGGAGUCGUGGAUGGUUGGUGGACGGCCACCAUGUCCCAACAAGGCUGCGACGUCAGCAAGGAGGUGGCGGAGUCAUGUUUUGGGCCGGAAUCAUGGGGAGAGAGCUGGUUGGCCCCUUUAGGGUCCCUGAAGGUGUGAAAAUGACAUCUGUAAAUACAGUAUGUGGAGUUUCUGACUGACCACUUUCUUCCAUGGUACAAAAAGAAGAACCGUGCUUUCCGUAGCAAAAUCAUCUUCAUGCAUGACAAUGCACCAUCUCAUGCUGCAAGGAAUACCUCUGCAUCAUUGGCUGCUAUGGGCAUAAAAAGGAGAGAAACUCAUGGUGUGGCCCCCAUCCUCCCCUGACCUCAACCCUAUUGAGAACCUUUGGAGCAUCCUCAAGCAAAAGAUCUAUGAGGGUGGGAGGCAGUUCACAUCCAAACAGCAGCUCUGGGAGGCUAUUCUGACAUCCUGCAAAGAAAUUCAAGCAGAAACUCUCCAAAAACUCACAAGGUCAAUGGAUGCAAGAAUUGUGAAGCUGCUAUCAAAUAAAGGGUCCUAUGUUAAAAUGUAA